rnacentral:siRNA from 1 species
CGAACCGUUAUUACAUACA